UACAGAGGUGGCAAGCGUUGUUCGGAAUUAUUGGGCGUAAAGAGCUCGUAGGCGGUCUGUCGCGUCGAUCGUGAAAACUUGGGGCUUAACCCUGAGCUUGCGGUCGAUACGGGCAUGACUGGAGUUCGGCAGGGGAGACUGGAAUUCCUGGUGUAGCGGUGAAAUGCGCAGAUAUCAGGAGGAACACCAGUGGCGAAGGCGACUACCUGGCCUGUUCUUGACGCUGAGGCGCGAAAGCUAGGGGAGCAAACGGG
rnacentral:rRNA from 1 species